GUAGUGAUCCCCAAAGGGGUACUAGCUGCUGAUUUGUCAUCACAUUUUUCAAUUUCUCUGCAUUUCAUUUUCAAUUUCAUUAGCUCAAAUUUGAGAUCCUGAUUUUCUCUUUUUAGACUUGAGAUUUCGUCUGUAACAGGAGAAAUGCCACUGGAGAACCAAUUGAAUUUAGAUGGACGAGGAGGAGGAAGAGGAGGAUCUGCCCCUACUAAAC
rnacentral:misc_RNA from 1 species